rnacentral:rRNA from 1 species
AGAGUUUGAUCAUGGCUCAGGAUGAACGCUGGCGGCGUGCUUAACACAUGCAAGUCGAACGAGGUCCAUGGAGCUUGCUCCGGACGACCUAGUGGCGAACGGGUGCGUAACACGUGAGGAACCUGCCCCGAUCUCUGGGAUAACAGUUGGAAACGACUGCUAAUACCGGAUGCCGUCACACCGUCACAUGGCGGAGUGCCGAAAGAUUCAUCGGAUCGGGAGGGCCUCGCGGCCUAUCAGCUUGUUGGAGAGGUAACGGCUCACCAAGGCAUCGACGGGUAGCUGGUCUGAGAGGAUGAUCAGCCACACUGGGACUGAGACACGGCCCAGACUCCUACGGGAGGCAGCAGUGGGGAAUCUUGCACAAUGGGCGAAAGCCUGAUGCAGCAACGCCGCGUGCGGGAAGAAGGCCCUAGGGUUGUAAACCGCUUUCAGUAGGGAAGAAAAUGACGGUACCUACAGAAGAAGGUGCGGCCAACUACGUGCCAGCAGCCGCGGUGACACGUAGGCACCAAGCGUUAUCCGGAUUUAUUGGGCGUAAAGAGCUCGUAGGCGGUUUGGUAGUCGGGUGUGAAAACUCUGGGCUCACCCAGAGAGCCACCCGAUACUGCUAUGACUAGAGUACGGUAGG